UACGUAGGGGGCAAGCGUUGUCCGGAUUUAUUGGGCGUAAAGAGCGUGUAGGCGGCUAGGUAGGUCCGUUGUGAAAACUCGAGGCUCAACCUCGAGACGCCGAUGGAAACCAUCUAGCUAGAGUCCGGAAGAGGAGAGUGGGAUUCCUGGUGUAGCGGUGAAAUGCGCAGAUAUCAGGAAGAACACCUGUGGCUAAGGCGGCUCUCUAGUACGGUACUGACGCUGAGACGCGAAAGCGUGGGGAGCGAACAGG
rnacentral:rRNA from 1 species